UACCAGCUCUCCGAGUGGUAGGGAUGAUUAUUGGGCUUAAAGCGUCCGUAGCCGGCUUAGCAAGUUUCCUGUUAAACUCAGCGACUCAAUCGUUGGGUCGCGGGAAAUACUACUAGGCUAGGAGGCGGGAGAGGUCAACGGUACUUCUGGGGUAGGGGCGAAAUCCUAUAAUCCCGGGGAGGACCACCAGUGGCGAAGGCUGUUGACUAGAACGCGCUCGACGGUGAAGGGACGAAAAGCUGGGAGAGCGAACCGGAUUAGAUACCCGGGUAGUCCCAGCUGUAAACGAUGCGAGCUAGGUGUUGGAAUGGCUACGGGCCAUUUCAGUGCCGCAGGGAAGCCAGUAAGCUCGCCGCCUGGGGAGUACGGCCGCAAGGCUGAAACUUAAAGGAAUUGGGCGGGGGAGCACCACAAGGCGUGAAGCUUGCGGUUC
rnacentral:rRNA from 1 species